CAGCCGCCGCGGUAAUACGUAGGUGGCAAGCGUUGUCCGGAAUUAUUGGGCGUAAAGCGCGCGCAGGCGGUUCCUUAAGUCUGAUGUGAAAGCCCACGGCUCAACCGUGGAGGGUCAUUGGAAACUGGGGAACUUGAGUGCAGAAGAGGAAAGUGGAAUUCCACGUGUAGCGGUGAAAUGCGUAGAGAUGUGGAGGAACACCAGUGGCGAAGGCGACUUUCUGGUCUGUAACUGACGCUGAGGCGCGAAAGCGUGGGGAGCAAACAGGAUUAGAUACCCUGGUAGUCCACGCCGUAAACGAUGAGUGCUAAGUGUUAGGGGGUUUCCGCCCCUUAGUGCUGCAGCUAACGCAUUAAGCACUCCGCCUGGGGAGUACGGCCGCAAGGCUGAAACUUAAAGGUAUUGGCGGG
rnacentral:rRNA from 1 species